rnacentral:tRNA from 1 species
GGCCCCAUCGUCUAGUGGUUUAGGACAUAAGGUUUUCAGCCUUAGAACCACGGUUCGAAUCCGUGUGGGGUCA